GUGGGGAAUCUUGCGCAAUGGGCGAAAGCCUGACGCAGCCAUGCCGCGUGAAUGAUGAAGGUCUUAGGAUUGUAAAAUUCUUUCACCCGGGACGAUAAUGACGGUACCCGGAGAAGAAGCUCCGGCUAACUUCGUGCCAGCAGCCGCGGUAAUACGAAGGGGGCUAGCGUUGCUCGGAAUUACUGGGCGUAAAGGGCGCGUAGGCGGACAGCUUAGUCAGAGGUGAAAGCCCAGGGCUCAACCUUGGAAUUGCCUUUGAUACUGGCUGUCUUGAGUUUGGGAGAGGUGAGUGGAACUCCGAGUGUAGAGGUGAAAUUCGUAGAUAUUCGGAAGAACACCAGUGGCGAAGGCGACUCACUGGCCCAAUACUGACGCUGAGGCGCGAAAGCGUGGGGAGCAAACAGGAUUAGAUACCCCUGUAGUCC
rnacentral:rRNA from 1 species